GAACGGAAAGGCCUCUUCGGAGGUCUCGAGUGGCGAACGGGUGAGUAACACGUGGGUAAUCUGCCCUGCACUUCGGGAUAAGCCUGGGAAACUGGGUCUAAUACCGAAUAGGACCAUUUAGCGCAUGCUUUAUGGUGGAAAGCUUUUGCGGUGUGGGAUGGGCCCGCGGCCUAUCAGCUUGUUGGUGGGGUGACGGCCUACCAAGGCGACGACGGGUAGCCGGCCUGAGAGGGUGUCCGGCCACACUGGGACUGAGAUACGGCCCAGACUCCUACGGGAGGCAGCAGUGGGGAAUAUUGCACAAUGGGCGCAAGCCUGAUGCAGCGACGCCGCGUGGGGGAUGACGGCCUUCGGGUUGUAAACCUCUUUCAGCAGGGACGAAGCGCAAGUGACGGUACCUGCAGAAGAAGCACCGGCCAACUACGUG
rnacentral:rRNA from 1 species